AAUAAGUGCAGUUUUGCACUAUUCACGUUCAACGUUUGACCGUCCGUCUUAUUUGAAAAAUUUGUGAAAAAGUUAAAAACAUUUAGUCACACAUAAAGUACUAUUUAUGUUUUAUCAUCUAAUAGCAAUAAAAAUACUAAUUAUAAAAAAUUUUCAAAUAAGACGGACGGUUAAACGUUGAACAUAAAUAGUGCAAAACUGCACUUAUU
rnacentral:pre_miRNA from 1 species